GCUCCUCUACAUUUUCUAAUGAAGAACAGGAGUGGAAUUAGACCCUCGAGGCUUUCUGUCAGGGAGCUUUCACCAGCAUGGGGGGGAUUUUCUGGUAUGUUAGAGAAGUUAAAACAGCUUCAACGUUUAUCACCUGUAACCUUCUGAGACGGCUCAAGCCUAUAGACGCAGGACUCAAUGGCACCAGCUGAUCUUUGUUGAAUGGAGCCCCACCCACCACUGAGCUGAAGGCCUUUUCUGCAGCUUUCUUCAGCCUCCCCAGGAAUGCAGGAAUUUCACCGCUUCCCCUGUUAAGCAGAUAAGGACACCUAGACACCGAGAGAGGUGGAGGGACCAGCCCGCCUCCUGAUACCCUCCUGGGACCUGAGCUGCUACCUCCUUACAGAGGCGACUCAAAGAGGCUGCCUUCCCCAAGGUCACAACCCAGAUGUUCUGACUCCAGGCAAAGCUCAAUGAUGGUUAAAUGUUUGUGGAAGGAGCCUUGGAAGCAAAGCACUGAAUUCGAUAAGGGUGGAAGAAUUUGUCCCAGAGGUGUGCUUAAUUGAAAGGUAAUCUCAUUGGGAAGACCAAAUCCGGACACCUGUAAAAGGAGCAUCAAUUACCAACAGCUAGCCCUAAAGACAAAAUUAGUUAACAAUGGAGGGGCGGUGCCUCGGAGAAUUAGGAAAAUUUGGG